rnacentral:rRNA from 1 species
AGAGUUUGAUCCUGGCUCAGGACGAACGCUGGCGGCAUGCCUAACACAUGCAAGUCGAACGGACAUGGCGAGGAUAUAGCGAUAUAUUUUGAGCUAUGUUAGUGGCGAACGGGUGAGUAACACGUGAGCAACCUGCCCUUUACUACGGGAUAACGCUCGGAAACAGGCGCUAAUACGGUAUAAGACCACACUAUGGCAUCAUAGAGCGGUAAAAGCGAUUUAGCGGUAAAGGAUGGGCUCGCGUCCAAUUAGCUGGUUGGUAGGGUAACGGCCUACCAAGGCGACGAUUGGUAGCCGACCUGAGAGGGUGAUCGGCCACACUGGAACUGAGACACGGUCCAGACUCCUACGGGAGGCAGCAGUGGGGAAUAUUGGGCAAUGGAGGAAACUCUUACCCAGCAAUGCCGCGUGAGCGAAGAAGGUCUUCGGAUUGUAAAGCUCUUUGAU